AGAUCAUAUAGUAAAGGACGGCUUGCACUCACGUUUUUUGGUCCAUAUUGAUCAAUAUUGAUGGUUGAUCCUGAGGAAAGCCCCGAACGAGGGCUGAAACGUUGAUGAUUUUAUGGAAUAACAUCUAAUAAAGGAAUAUUUUUUAUCUCCAAAAGAUCGUGAGCGCAAGCCGUCCUUUACUAUAUUAUAUUUUU